rnacentral:rRNA from 1 species
GGAAUAUUGGGCAAUGGAGGGAACUCUGACCCAGCGACGCCGCGUGCGGGAUGAAGGCCUUCGGGUUGUAAACCGCUUUCAGCAAGGAGGAAGCGAAAGUGACGGUACUUGCAGAAGAAGCACCGGCUAACUAUGUGCCAGCAGCCGCGGUAAUACAUAGGGUGCAAGCGUUGUCCGGAAUUAUUGGGCGUAAAGAGCUCGUAGGUGGUUUGAUACGUCGGGUGUGAAAUUCAGGGGCUCAACCCCUGACCUGCAUUCGAUACGGUCAAGCUAGAGUUUGGUAGGGGAGACUGGAAUUCCUGGUGUAGCGGUGGAAUGCGCAGAUAUCAGGAGGAACACCGAUGGCGAAGGCAGGUCUCUGGGCCAAUACUGACACUGAGGAGCGAAAGCGUGGGGAGCGAACAGGAUUAGAUACCCUGGUAGUCCACGCCGUAAACGGUGGGCGCUAGUUGUGCGAACCUUCCACGGUUUGUGCGGCGCAGCUAACGCAUUAAGCGCCCCGCCUGGGGAGUACGAUCGCAAGAUUAAAACUCAACGGAAUUGACGG